rnacentral:tRNA from 1 species
GCCUAAGUAGUAUGGGGGUUAUGACACUCGACUUGUAAUCGAGUGGGCUAGGGUUCGAAUUCCGAAUAAGGUU